GAUCCUGCUCAGGAUGAACGCUGGCGGCGUGCUUAACACAUGCAAGUCGAACGAAGCACUUUAAUUGAUUUCUUCGGAAUGAAGUUUUUGUGACUGAGUGGCGGACGGGUGAGUAACGCGUGGGUAACCUGCCUCAUACAGGGGGAUAACAGUUGGAAACGACUGCUAAUACCGCAUAAGCGCACGGGAUUGCAUGAUCCAGUGUGAAAAACUCCGGUGGUAUGAGAUGGACCCGCGU
rnacentral:rRNA from 1 species